AGUGAACGCUGGCGGCGUGCUUAACACAUGCAAGUCGAACGAGAACGGGUUAUAGCUUGCUAUAAUUGUCAGCUAAGUGGCGCACGGGUGAGUAAUGUAUAGGUAAUAUGCCUCUUACUAAGGGAUAACAAAUGGAAACGUUUGCUAAUACCUUAUACUCCUUAUUAACAGAAGUUAAUAAGGGAAUGAUUUAUUGGUAAGAGAUUAGCCUGUAUUGUAUCAGUUUGUUGGUGGGGUAAUGGCUUACCAAGACUAUGACACAUAACUGGUUUGAGAGGAUGAUCAGUCACACUGGGACUGAGACACGGUCCAGACUCCUACGGGAGGCAGCAGUGGGGAAUAUUGCACAAUGGACGAAAGUCUGAUGCAGCAACGCCGCGUGGAGGAUGACACAUUUCGGUGCGUAAACUCCUUUUAUAUGAGAAGAUAAUGACGGUAUUAUAUGAAUAAGCACCGGCUAACUCCGUGCCAGCAGCCGCAGUAA
rnacentral:rRNA from 1 species